CCCCUUUCAAGGACUAGGACAACCUAAAACUUUCUGCUCCAACUUGCACCCUCCUGAUCCAAAAUUCCAGACAGGUAAAGUUAGACAGGAGGAGCGAUCAGGACCAAUCCCCAUGCCAGGAAUGACUUGCCCAUUGCUGAGAACACUGAGUGACCUGUCGGGGUCUGGGGACACAAAGCAGCAGAUGCCAGGAGACAGAUGAAUUCAAUAUUACACUGUGACUACAUCUAAAACACACAAGCAAACCAACAAAAGAGGUUGCCCCAGCUUCUGACAUAGGGAUUCUCAGUGGGACUCUCAGGGGAAGGAAAGACUGCUCCUCAGCCCACCAGUAGGAGACUCCUUUCAGUUGAAUAAACUCAGGUUCAAGGAGUUAAGCAAGCAUUUUACUCAAGGUCACAUAGUCAGUACAUGGCAGAUUGUCUACUCCAAGUUCCACAUUGUUUCUGCCCUGGAGCUCAGUGAAUGAUCCAGAUGCCCUGAGGAGGAGGAGCUGGAAUCAAAAUGGACAUUCUUCUUGGGAACUCAGAGAACAAGGAAGAUACAAACCAAGAACAGGCUGAGCCUAAC